AUGCACUUUAAAUACAGACAAGAAUAUUAGUAGAAGUUACUAUCGCAAGGUAAGUGCUGCCUCACCCCGAAGGGAUUAAAGGCAGCAUGUGCAAUAAGCUGAAUAAGGGGCUGUUUAUAUUAUCCUGCUUUGCCAGGACGAGAAAUGAGGCAGGAUGAUUUGACGUUUCGAUGUAUUGAAAUCAGUCACGGUGCACAAUUCAGCAAAAAACUUCAUUAUCUUCUAGAGAUAGAUUAAAGUAGAGAUAGAUUAAACGAAAGGUUGUUGUUGAACUAUAAGAUCUUAGAAUAUCAAACACCUUGCACAAAGUCGAAUGUCAGAUUCGGUUUUAUAGGAAUAUAUACUGCUUAUACCUUCUUGCUUUUGUAUGUAGAGCCGGACCCGGAGCUAAAAUAACCGGAGUUUGCAGUCCAGUGCCUUUUUUAACUAUAUAU